GAAAAAUUUGGAGGUUUUAUUUUUAACAGGUGCACAUUGUACAAAUGUUUGCUUGUUCGUUGGAUGUUAUCCAAAAUCGUUUAAGAGAAUAACAAUACCUUCCACUCAACAGCACGACAAGGUGUUUCCUAUGAUUACUACUAUAAGAACCUAAGAACCUUUCUCGGUUGAAAAGACAUAUUGUGCAUGGUAUUACCCAACACCCCGCGGAUCCUUCGUCUCGCUGAAAAAACGUGCGAUGUUUUCGCGUCAAAACAUUUAGGAAUGCGACCACAUUCCUAACGUCGUGAAAUGACAUCGUGGGCAGACUUGGAAAAAGUGUUCAACGUUCCUCGGAUCCUGAAUUUGCCUUUUUCAAAUGUUCCUCAAUUAUAUUGGUUGUAAAAUUGCUGAGGAAACAAAACAAUCUUGAAAUUCUAUCAACAGGAUAUAAAGAACACUUCGCAAUCUCAAAAUAGACUCAAACGGCAGAUAACUAAAUAUGAUUCCUUAAAAUUCUCCCUUAAAGUACGCGUGAAAAAUUCAAAAUGUUCCUGAAUCUUGUUGCUAAGGCAAAUGUUCCUCAGGAUCCAGGAUCCCGAGAUCCCAUUUUUCUCCAGGUCUGAUCCAUAGAUAUCUUAUAUAAACUAGAUAGCGCAUCUCUUUUAGUAAAAUUGAAGCCAAGAAAUUCCAGCGGUUACCCCCAUUUGAAUAGAUGGCGGCCAUGUUGAAGUUUCCCACUCGCUAAUAAACGCUUAAAAUCAUUUGAAUAGUUUGAAAAUGUAUUUGGAAUAGGUAGAAAACAUACGAGUCUUCUCAUUUCAUGGGAAUAUCCUGAGUCUGCAAUCACGGCUUCAAUUUUUGAAUUACAGAAUAAUUAGAUGCACUAUCUAGUGUAUAUAACUUAUAAGAUAUCUAUGAUCUGAUCGUGCGAAUGGCGACAUCUGAUUGGUUCGCGAGAAAUGAUAUUGACAUAACUAAAAACAUUUUGUGUGUGUUGGUGUUAUGUACUCAGCUGAAUAAGAUGUUUGUGGUGUUACUCUGACUGUGCAUCCACACCGGAUAAGCUGAAAAGUUUGCCUGACCACGGUGGGAAUCGAACCCGCGACCUUUGGGAUAUUAGUCCAAUACUCUACCAACUAAGCUACGAGGUGAAGUCGGUUCGAAAUAACACCAACUCGAACCGACUUGACCUCGUAGCUCAGUUGGUAGAGCAUUGGACUAGUAUCCCAAAGGUCGCGGGUUCGAUUCCCACCGUUGUCAGGAAAAUGUUUUUCAGCUUGUCCGGUGUGGACGCACACAAACAUCAUAACUAACAACAGUUUCACAUCUUAACAAUAAUUCUC